rnacentral:misc_RNA from 1 species
GUGGGGAAGCAUAGAGGUGGAAGGGCUGAUGAUUUUUCAGAAAAUUAUUUUCCAUCGUGAGUGGAGAGUGGCCGGAAAUUCGGUUUAUGAGUGCUAUUUUCCAUUCUGAUUGGAGAGAGUGAAAGUUCGCUUUAUGAACGAUGGGUGGAUAUAUUACAUCGACUCUGCUGCCUAGAAUACAAAGUGGUAUAACAUCACCUAAAGCUGCUCGGAUUUUAUUUUACCCAACAUUACUAUGGAAUAUUUUCACUGUGGCAAUGAGUCGCAAAAGAAGAUGGUAUGACAGAAUUGAUAGGAAUGUUGUACUUGGAGCAUUACCUUUGCGUAUUAUUUCACAGAGUCUGAUCAAUAAAGAAAAUAUUGGAGGGGUUGUGACAUUGAAUGAAGAAUAUGAAACAAGAUUACUUAUGUUUUCAAAUGAGAAAUGGAAAAGUCUGGGAAUUAAACAUUUGCACUUGCCAACACCAGAUUUUAAUAAUGCACCAGACUUUGAAAAACUGAUGGAAGGAGUACAAUUUAUUAAACAAUUUGAUAGUCUCAAUAUCAGUUGUUACGUGCACUGCAAAGCUGGAAGGGGAAGAAGUGCAACUUUGGUGGCUUGUUAUUUAAUGGAGUUGUACAAUAUUACUCCUGAUGAAGCAAUCAACAUCCUAAAAUCAAAAAGGGAACAAACACUUCUUGGGUCAAAGCAAGUGACAGCAGUAAAAGAAUUCUAUGAACACCAUAUUCAAACAAGUUCUAGGCCACGUAUACCUAUACAAGAAUAACAUAUGAUGUACAUAAUUUUAGCGGCACAUUGGCCAAGAGUAUGAUACCCAGCUGGUCCUGCUUUUUUCUAAAAAUGACAGAAAUCGUAUGUGAAUCUAACUAUAUAUAACCACUACCAGCAGAACAUACUUCGAAAAACAAACAAACAGUUUACUGUCAUGAUAUUUUGACUCGAUUUCAUAGUCAGAUCGAUUCUUGGUAAU